CAUAUCUGGAGAAGAUAAAAGGUCUUGGGAAACAUUCAACGCUGUCGGUGAGUUUUGUCAAUGAAGUCAAACCAUCGACUGUUGAGUGUACCCUGCGGCUUUUACAAACACUGCCCAUGAAG
rnacentral:pre_miRNA from 11 species